AUUGAACGCUGGCGGCAGGCCUAACACAUGCAAGUCGAACGGUAACAGGAAACAGCUUGCUGUUUCGCUGACGAGCGGCGGACGGGUGAGUAACGUCUGGGAAACCGCCUGAUGGAGGGGGAUAACUACUGGAAACGGUAGCCAAUACCGCAUAACGUCGCAAGACCAAAGAGGGGGACCUUCGGGCCUCUUGCCAUCGGAUGUGCCCAGAUGGGAUUAGCUAGUAGGUGGGGUAACGGCUCACCGAGGCGACGAUCCCUAGCUGGUCUGAGAGGAUGACCAGCCACACUGGAACUGAGACACGGUCCAGACUCCUACGGGAGGCAGCAGUGGGGAAUAUUGCACAAUGGGCGCAAGCCUGAUGCAGCCAUGUCGCGUGUAUGAAGAAGGCCUUCGGGUUGUAAAGUACUUUCAGCGGGGAGGAAGGGAGUAAAGUUAAUAUCUUUGCUCAUUGACGUUACCCGCAGAAGAAGCACCGGCUAACUCCGUGCCAGCCGCCGCGGUAA
rnacentral:rRNA from 1 species